rnacentral:rRNA from 1 species
GAUGAACGCUGGCGGCGUGCCUAAUACAUGCAAGUCGAACGCAUAGCGAAAGGUGCUUGCACCUUUCAAGUGAGUGGCGAACGGGUGAGUAACACGUGGACAACCUGCCUCAAGGCUGGGGAUAACAUUUGGAAACAGAUGCUAAUACCGAAUAAAACUUAGUGUCGCAUGACACAAAGUUAAAAGGCGCUUCGGCGUCACCUAGAGAUGGAUCCGCGGUGCAUUAGUUAGUUGGUGGGGUAAAGGCCUACCAAGACAAUGAUGCAUAGCCGAGUUGAGAGACUGAUCGGCCACAUUGGGACUGAGACACGGCCCAAACUCCUACGGGAGGCUGCAGUAGGGAAUCUUCCACAAUGGGCGAAAGCCUGAUGGAGCAACGUCGCGUGUGUGAUGAAGGCUUUCGGGUCGUAAAGCACUGUUGUAUGGGAAGAACAGCUAGAAUAGGAAAUGAUUUUAGUUUGACGGUACCAUACCAGAAAGGGACGGCUAAAUACGUG